UAUAUAUAUAUAUAGCACCGCCGGCCCAAGUACCACGGUCACUAGUCAGAUAGGUAGAUGCGUUUACACAUUAACCUAAGGUUCAUUUCUAUGAUGCGUUACGAAUAACAAAAAACCUUUCGUUGCUAAUGGUCAUUUGACUGCAAAACAGCUGAUCGAGCAGCUAACUUAAACCAUAAGAUAAUUCUGUGUACAUAAAUCGUGAUAUCAGCAUAGCAUGACAGCGUCGUAUAUACACGAUAGCCAUGAUAUUAUAGCUGUCAAUCACAGUUACUAAUUUUCAAGUUUCGUAAUAUAUAAUUACACUGCGACAGCAGCGUAAUCGUACGGGCGAUAUUGGUGUUUGUAAUUAUUUUUUUAAUUAUUCUAAACAAUUGUCACUUAAUGCGGUACCACUGUGAUUAGCCUGACCUGAAACAUUGGAAUGCUUUGUCGGAAUAGUACCCUUGUCGCUGUAUGCACAGUGUACGAUGUUACUAGUACCAUGUACUCGGGUCGUGACAGCAGUUUUACUUUGAGAGGUGUCAUCUCCUUACGAACCGAAUCAUAAAUUACGCAAUAAGCCAGCUCAAAGUGGAACCGAUGUCGUGGCUCGGGUAUGGCAGUCGCACAUUCCGCGUAACCGGCCGACGGGUGAAACGCGUUUUGUAGCUCCGCGGCUUGAAUUUCACCGGGAACUGGGCCUAGGUUACUCUCGCCCGGUUUGGCUCGGUCCGGGCCGUCGCAGCUACUGCUCUAUAACGCAAUGACCCAAAUGAUAUCGCGAAGUGGGUCGCAGCCUAGAAUCCACGAGAGCCCUGUGCACCUCGUCACACUCACUCGGCCAUCCCUCCACGCUGGUAUUACAUCGCCUCGUGGAGUCUUACGCCCCACUAUCCUCCAUACCUCUUUUCGACGGUACCAACUUUUCUCGCACCGUGGCGCCCCCGUACUCUUUUUCUCCGCUGGCACUCUUUCUACUGUCUUACUCAGCAUGCUUCACGGCGCUCGGGGCUUACGCCGUUUACACGCUCGAUACACGCUAUUUCGAUGUCGUUCAAAUUUCACUUUCGCUCGCUCGUAAUUGCGUGACCGCGACUCGCUACCACGCUACGAUACUUUCCUUUUGGGUUAUAACGAUUAAAUUAGAGCAGGCCAAGGACUCUCGCUCUCGCUCUCUCUCUCUCUCGCUCUCUCUGUCAAUAGAAACGUUGUUUGAACAUUCUUACGAGUCCGAUUCGAUGCUGACAUUCGCACACGUCGAUAACAACGUGUACCGCUUUAAUCCUCAGUAAUGGGCAGCUUAAUAAUCGUUUUCUUAUUGACACAGUGUCUGUCACUUUCGUUAUCUCUCUACUCGACGUCUCUCUAGUGGGUCACCGAAGAUACCUCGACGUAGACAAAAACCGGAAGCGUGUGUUCGUCACACGUGUACUCAACAUAUGCUUUGGCGGAUAACCGCUAUCUUAUGUGACCCGGUUAAUACGCCUCGUCCAAACGUGCUUUCCCAGAAAGAUAGAAAAUUCUUGACUCGGAAAAUACUUAAAAAAAAAAAAAAAAAAAAAAAAAAAAAAAAAAA